GAAACUACAAGAUUCCCCUAGUAACGGCGAGUGAAGAGGGAUGAGCCCAAGAUUGAAAGCUGGCGUCAUUUUACUGGCGUUCCGCAUUGUAAUCUCAAGAAGCGUUUAUCCGCUACGGACCAGGUCAAAGUCUCUUGGAAAAGAGCAUCAUGGAGGGUGAAAAUCCCGUGUGUGACCUGGAGCCACCGUAGUACUGCGAUGCGUUUUUUCUCAGAGUCGAGUUGUUUGGGAAUGCAGCUCAAAAUGGGUGGUAAAUGCCAUCUAAGGCUAAAUACAGGGGAGAGACCGAUAGCGAACAAGUACCGUGAGGGAAAGAUGCAAAGAACUUUGGAAAGAGAGUUAAACAGUACGUGAAAUUGCCAGAAGGGAAGGGUAGGAAGUCAGAGAUGCGGAGACGUAGCUCAGCCGGAUGUUUGUAGUGGGCAAACGGUGUAAGCUACUGAUCUGCAGGUCAACGUCGGUUCUGUGGCGCGGGAAAGCGGGGUCGGGCAAUGUGGCACUUCUUCGGAAGUGUGAUUAUAGACCGGCCUUUUGAGUCUGGACCAGCGACUGGAGCCGUGGUUUAGCAGCAUGAUGCUUUCUUUUGGAUCUGGAGAAGGGCGUCAAAACCUUUUUCCGGAGAAGGGGGGAGGUGUUAGGUCUUCGGGCACUAUUCAUGCUGAUGGCGUUGCUUAAUGGCC
rnacentral:rRNA from 1 species